rnacentral:rRNA from 1 species
GACGAACGCUGGCGGCGUGCUUAACACAUGCAAGUUGAACGGUAAGGCCCUUCGGGGUACACGAGUGGCGAACGGGUGAGUAACACGUGGGUGAUCUGCCCUGCACUUCGGGAUAAGCCUGGGAAACUGGGUCUAAUACCGGAUAGGACCACUGCCUGCAUGGGUGGUGGUGGAAAGCUUUUGCGGUGUGGGAUGGGCCCGCGGCCUAUCAGCUUGUUGGUGGGGUGAUGGCCUACCAAGGCGACGACGGGUAGCCGGCCUGAGAGGGUGACCGGCCACACUGGGACUGAGAUACGGCCCAGACGCCUACGGGAGGCAGCAGUGGGGAAUAUUGCACAAUGGGCGCAAGCCUGAUGCAGCGACGCCGCGUGAGGGAUGACGGCCUUCGGGUUGUAAACCUCUUUCAGCUCCGACGAAGCGCAAGUGACGGUAGGUGCAGAAGAAGGACCGGCCAACUACGUGCCAGCCGCCGCGGUAA